CCUACGGGAGGCAGCAGUGAGGAAUAUUGGUCAAUGGACGAGAGUCUGAACCAGCCAAGUAGCGUGAAGGAUGACUGCCCUACGGGUUGUAAACUUCUUUUAUAAAGGAAUAAAGUGAGUCACGUGUGCCUUUUUGCAUGUACUUUAUGAAUAAGGAUCGGCUAACUCCGUGCCAGCAGCCGCGGUAAUACGGAGGAUCCGAGCGUUAUCCGGAUUUAUUGGGUUUAAAGGGAGCGUAGAUGGGUUGUUAAGUCAGUUGUGAAAGUUUGCGGCUCAACCGUAAAAUUGCAAUUGAUACUGGAAGUCUUGAGUACAGUUGAGGUAGGCGGAAUUCGUGGUGUAGCGGUGAAAUGCUUAGAUAUCACGAAGAACCCCGAUUGCGAAGGCAGCUUACUAAACUGUGACUGACAUUGAUGCUCGAAAGUGUGGGUAUCAAACAGGAUUAGAUACCCUAGUAGUC
rnacentral:rRNA from 1 species